CCACCCAGAUAGAACAGAGGGCUGACUUACGAUGUUUUGAUUGAGGAAGGCACCCAAAUGUGAGGUGAACUUCAGGUUUAGAAUCCGUACCUUUUCCCAGGCUGGUGACAUGUGUCCCACCAACACCAGCAAUGCUGGGUGGUCACUGUCAGCCGCCUUGUCACAAGCAGAAGCCCCGGAGACCGCAGUGUGCCAAGUAGGAUGGCCGGGAGUGUGGGCGUAGUCGUGCAUUUGGACGUGGGGUGUUCUCAGCUCACACCAGUUCCGUAGUGAGUUCCCCGGGUCACUUAUCUGAAGCAGAGGUGGAGCCUGACCCCUCCCCUUGUGGCCUUCCCAUGAUUCCCUGUGGUGGACCAGUCCCACGUGACCUGGCUGGGAGGGGGGUCCCCUAACAAUUCUAGCCUGGUGACACCCUGAGAUUUUAGCCAAAACCCAAUGCGUGUUCUCUGCUGGUUCCGUACACCACGAUUUGGUUUGUGCCCAAGUGCUUCUCUUUAAUGCUGAACUCACUUGGGCUGGUCCUAGGAGACUCAAGCAUCUCCUCCUUGCCACCCGCAGGAACGGAGUUAUCAUUUGAGGAUGCCCGAGCCUUGGGUUUUCAGUGAAUCGGUACCCUCGUCAUCGUCGUCAGCAUCAGCAUCUCCGUCAGCACAGUCUGCUCUCUGUCCUCUUUCUGUCCCUUCUCGGCUUCCUUUUCCUCUUCUCCUCCUCCCGCUCCUGCUGCUCCUCCUCCUCCCUCACUGACAUCGUCAUCUCCAUGAGCGCAGUCUUCUCCUCGCCCUCAUCCUUUUCCCUCCCCUUCUGCUCCUCCUCCGUCAUCCACAUUGUCACCUCCAUCACCACGAUGUCCUUCCGCCCCCUGCUGCCCCCCACUCCUCCUUAACACUAGGAAGGAAAAGGAAAGAAGGGCGGGGUCAGGUUGGGUGGGAGGUCCGAGGUCGGCGAGGUCCUCCCAGCGGAUGGCGAAGCCUCGGCGGGGUUGGUUUGGACUCCUGGGUCUGUUUGAGGAACAGCGAGCGAACAGGCCCACGGGAGUCUGGGGCACUCGGGGAACGCUUUAUUUACUGAUGGAGGAGCAGAGAGAACAAAUAACUGACCCCCACACUCCGGGGAGGGCCAGGCCCAGAAUCCCGCCCCGGAAAGGUGGAAGGAGGAAGUGUAGGGUGGGUGGAAACGAGAGGGGUGGGGAGGCUAGACCAAGAGGGGAGCAGGAAAGGGCUCGGGAGAGGAAGAGGAGGUGGACGGGGUGAGCGGUGGGGAGAUGGAGGAGAGGAGAGGCUGGGGCAUGAAUGGGAGGUGGCCAUGGCCAGGGCCUCAGCAAAUGGAGUUGGAUCCUUGGGUGGGGACGUGUGAGUGAGGUGUGAGUGGACCCUGGGAUGAAGACAUCCGGUCCAUCUUGCGCCACUGGUCGCCUGGAGUGUGUGGGCCUUUCCUGGACUGCUGCGGAAAAUCUGCCCGUCUCAGAGAGACAAGAAACAGCAGGCUGUGGGGGUCCAGCUCUUCCCGAACCCCUUUCUUUCUAAUUUGCACAUUUGGGGGCAGCCUGGAGGCUGUGGGAAGCUGAGAAGUAGGUGGGCCUGGGUUGGCUGGGGACUCGAAACUGAGAUCACUCACUGAUCGUGGACGGGCGCACUCUCCCCUGUGUGGUCUGCCUCAUUGUUUCGCAGGAGGGUUAGUAACGGGCGUAGGUGUCGGCGCCAUUCUAACUUAGGGCUUCAAAGCUCAUCUGUUUUCUGCCCGUCACACGGUGAAGCACAAACCCAGCAGAAAUCAAGUAACGCAAGGAGGCUGGAAGUCCGAGGUCCAGGAGUGGACAAGUCAGCUCCUUCCGCGGCCUCUGUCCUGGGCUUGUCGGUGGCCGUCAUCUCUCUGUGCCAUCCGUGGUCUUCCCUGUGAGCCUGCGUCCUGAUCGCUCACAGAGACAGCAUUCAGAUUGGAUGGGAAUCCAGUGCGAUAACCUUAUUUUAUCUUAAGUAUCUCUUUCUAGGCCCUGGCCCCAAAUAGAGUCGCUUUCUGGGGUACUGGAGGUGAGGACCUGGACAUGUGGAUUUUGUCAGGGACACGAUUCAGCCCGUUACACACGGAGUCUCUCAGUGAGGAUGAGGGAGCUGUAUCUGCCAGUGGAGGCACCGUGGGAGGAUGUCAGGCUGGGUCGUGCUGGCUGGGAGGGGCAGAGAGAAGACGUCUCUUUUAGAAAAGCCAACCUGCUCCUGUGGCCAUCACUUGUCAACUACAAGAGAGGCUGGAUUUUAGCGUCUCUGCUGAAGUGGUACUUGAUGAGAAUUUCUGGUUAGUCCUGUCACACCCAAUGGUGUGUGAACUAGACCAUGACUUUGAGAAGAAACUGUGGUCCCCAAACAGGGCUUUCAGACAGGAGAAGGCAGCUGUUUCUGUUACGGGAAGCCUUGGUCUGCCAUCCCACCGGAAGUCUGUCUGGGAGGUCUUCUGCCGGCUGGCUAGUCCCAGCCAUGUCCCAAUAGAGACCCAGUGCCCAGAAGGGCCUUGUCCUCCUGCGGCCCAGCACCGGCACCCCUGUGCUGUUCCAGUCCCCAUCUGCCAACUUGCCCAGGCUCUGAGUCCAGGCUGUCAACUAACUGGGCCCCGAGGACAGACGCCUCGCACAACUCCUGAGGACAUGGUUCAGCUCCUUGACACUCAUAGGAGGUCACUGCAUGAAGUCCUUCCCUUCUAAGCUUGAGGCAGAACUGUAAGCAAAGAAGGCAUGACAUGUUGGCUGUCUUCCCGGGUCACAGCUUUGCAAGCUGCUGCUGCAGAGAAAAGAGGAUUCUGCCUCAGUAGGCAGAAAGUAGCGCUCUGACCCAGGCGAAGAGAAGUUUUCACUGUCCAUUACCCAGCCGUGUCUCUGGGCAAAUCACUGCUCCUCUUUGGUCCUCAGUUGUCACACCAGUCCCAGGACUAGGCUGAGGUCUGGAAUGUGACUGGAUUUGGUGAUGGGCCCUUAAAGAGACGGCUAAAUUAAAAUGAGGUCAGCAGGGUGAGCGCUACUCUAACACCCCCAGGGGUUCUAAUGAGAACAGGUGAUGAGGACACAGACACACAGAGUGGAGACCACGUGAAGAUGUCUGUUGACAAGCCCAGGUCAGCCCUGGAGCCCCCCACCUCGCCAACUCCUUGCACACGGCCACGGCAGCAUCUCACCACGGGGACGUUUCCAUGGGCCAGCGGGACUUCUCCCGGCCAGCGUUCUCUCUGGCCCAGAGGUUUUCCCUGAGCAGGCCCAAGGCUGGAAGUGUGGGUGCAACCCUGCAGCAGCCCUCACCCAAGGUGGUGGGGGUUGGAGGUACACACCCAGCUUCUUCACCCUCAGCUGGGCACCUCUGAAUGCGCCUCCCAGGGGCCCUGCAGGAGGUCAUCGCCUGCUGUCUGACUCCUCCUUCCCACCCCCUCGCUUCCCAUCUGGAUUAUGCCUUAGUCUGUUCCUUCUGCUGUGACAAAAGCCCCUUCCACUGGGAGUCCAAGGGCAAGGUGCUGGCAGAUCCAGCGUCUGAGGAGAGCCUCACUUCCUCGAUGGCUCCUUCCUGCUGUAUAAGUGGUGGGAGGGGCCAGCUAGGUUCCUUCAGCCUCUUUCUCAAGGUCACUAGUCCUAUGAUGAGGGAGGAUCUCUCAUAACCUAAUUGUCCCCAAUCACCUGUCAAUUCCACCACACUGGGGACUUGGGGGGGCACCAAUAUUCAGACCAUAGCAGGUCUCCUCCCAAA